rnacentral:misc_RNA from 1 species
AGGAAUACUGCUUGGGAGCUG